rnacentral:rRNA from 1 species
CAGCAGCCGCGGGAAUACGUAGGUCCCGAGCGCUGUCCGGAUAUAUUGGGCGUAAAGCGAGCGCAGGCGGUUAGAUAAGUCUGAAGUUAAAGGCUGUGGCUUAACCAUAGUACGCUUUGGAAACUGUUUAACUUGAGUGCAAGAGGGGAGAGUGGAAUUCCAUGUGUAGCGGUGAAAUGCGUAGAUAUAUGGAGGAACACCGGUGGCGAAAGCGGCUCUCUGGCUUGUAACUGACGCUGAGGCUCGGAAGCGUGGGGCGCAAACAGGAUUAGAUACCCCAGUAGUCCCUGUCUCUUAUACA